rnacentral:rRNA from 1 species
AGGAUGAUCCGCCACACUGGAACUGAGACACGGUCCAGACUCCUACGGGAGGCAGCAGUGGGGAAUUUUGGACAAUGGGGGCAACCCUGAUCCAGCCAUGCCGCGUGAGUGAAGAAGGCCUUCGGGUUGUAAAGCUCUUUCAGCCGGGAAGAAAAUGCAUGGGUUAAUACCCUGUGCAGAUGACGGUACCGGAAUAAGAAGCACCGGCUAACUACGUGCCAGCAGCCGCGGUAAUACGUAGAGUGCGAGCGUUAAUCGGAAUUACUGGGCGUAAAGCGUGCGCAGGCGGUUUUGUAAGACAGGCGUGAAAUCCCCGGGCUUAACCUGGGAACUGCGUUUGUGACUGCAAGGCUAGAGUACGGCAGAGGGGGGUGGAAUUCCACGUGUAGCAGUGAAAUGCGUAGAGAUGUGGAGGAACACCAAUGGCGAAGGCAGCCCCCUGGGUCGAUACUGACGCUCAUGCACGAAAGCGUGGGUAGCAAACAGGAUUAGAUACCCUGGUAGUCCACGCCCUAAACGAUGUCAACUAGGUGUUGGGAGGGUAAAACCUUUUAGUACCGUAGCUAACGCGAGAAGUUGACCGCCUGGGGAGUACGGCCGCAAGGUUAAAACUCAAAGGAAUUGACGGGGACCCGCACAAGCGGUGGAUGAUGUGGAUUAAUUCGAUGCAACGCGAAAAACCUUACCUACCCUUGACAUGUCAGGAACUUUCCAGAGAUGGAUUGGUGCCCGAAAGGGAACCUGAACACAGGUGCUGCAUGGCUGUCGUCAGCUCGUGUCGUGAGAUGUUGGGUUAAGUCCCGCAACGAGCGCAACCCUUGUCGUUAAUUGCCAUCAUUCAGUUGGGCACUUUAACGAGACUGCCGGUGACAAACCGGAGGAAGGUGGGGAUGACGUCAAGUCCUCAUGGCCCUUAUGGGUAGGGCUUCACACGUCAUACAAUGGUCGGUACAAAGGGUCGCCAACCCGCGAGGGGGAGCCAAUCCCAUAAAGCCGAUCGUAGUCCGGAUUGUAGGCUGCAACUCGCCUGCAUGAAGUCGGAAUCGCUAGUAAUCGUGGAUCAGCAUGUCACGGUGAAUACGUUCCCGGGUCUUGUACACACCGCCCGUCACACCAUGGGAGCGGGUUCCGCCAGAAGUAGGUAGCCUAACCGCAAGGGGGGCGCUUACCACGGCGGGGUUCGUGACUGGGGUGAAGUCGUAACAAGGUAGCCGUAGGGGAACCUGCGGCUG